rnacentral:sRNA from 1 species
GCUGUGUCGGUUCGAUUGGGAUACUCAUCAAUUCUUUUCUAAACACCGAGAAGGCUCUUCGCUCGAUGGCGUGCCGAUGCUGCGCUUUCAAUGCAGCGUGGAAGUCGGAUUACAAAGGACGACGGAGCACUCAAAUCCUUUCUACUCGGAGUUUCAUCAUCAACACCGGCACAGCCCUUU